rnacentral:misc_RNA from 1 species
CGCACAUUGCGCCCCUUGGUAUUCCAUGGGGCAUGCCUGUUCGAGCGUCAUUUGUACCCUCAAGCUUUGCUUGGUGUUGGGCGUUUUGUCUUUUUUAGUGAUUAGACUCGCCUUAAAGUAAUUGGCAGCCAGUGUUUUUUGGUAGUAAGCGCAGCACAUUUUGCGUCUUAGUCCUUAAACAGCGGCAACCAUAAAGCCUCUUUCUCACUUUUGACCUCGGAUCAGGUAGGGAUACCCGCUGAACUUAA